GGUGUGUCGGCGCCUAAGGCGAGGCAGUAAUGCGUAGUCGAUGGGAAACAGGUCAAUAUUCCUGUACCGCUCUUAGAUGCGAUGGGGGGACGGAGAAGGUUAGCUCGGCCAUCUGUUGGAAUAGGUGGUUUAAGCGUGUAGUCGUGCCGCGUAGGCAAAUCCGCGUGGCUUAGAUGAGGCGUGAUGACGAGGAUCCUCGGAUCCGAAGCGAGUGAUACCCAGCUUCCAGGAAAAGCCUCUAAGCUUCAGUCUAAGAGUGACCGUACCGCAAACCGACACAGGUGGGCUGNNNNNNNNNNUUAAGCGUGUAGGCGUGCCCCUUAGGCAAAUCCGGGGGGCUUAGCUGAGGCGUGAUGACGAGCUCUCUUUGAGAGCGAAGUGAUUGAUACCCUGCUUCCAGGAAAAGCCACUAAGCUUCAGUCUAGAAUUGACCGUACCGCAAACCGACACAGGUGGGCAGGUAGAAGAUACUAAGGCGCUUGAGAGAACUCAGGAGAAGGAACUCGGCAAAUUGAUACCGUAACUUCGGGAGAAGGUAUGCCUCGGUAGCUUGUAGGAGUACAUCCGAAGGGCGAAGAGGCCGCAGAGAAUCGGUGGCUGCGACUGUUUAUUAAAAACACAGCACUCUGCAAACACGAAAGUGGACGUAUAGGGUGUGACGCCUGCCC
rnacentral:rRNA from 1 species